GAUGAACGCUGGCGGCGUGCCUAAUACAUGCAAGUCGAGCGAACAGACGAGGAGCUUGCUCCUCUGACGUUAGCGGCGGACGGGUGAGUAACACGUGGAUAACCUACCUAUAAGACUGGGAUAACUUCGGGAAACCGGAGCUAAUACCGGAUAAUAUAUUGAACCGCAUGGUUCAAUAGUGAAAGACGGUUUUGCUGUCACUUAUAGAUGGAUCCGCGCCGCAUUAGCUAGUUGGUAAGGUAACGGCUUACCAAGGCGACGAUGCGUAGCCGACCUGAGAGGGUGAUCGGCCACACUGGAACUGAGACACGGUCCAGACUCCUACGGGAGGCAGCAGUAGGGAAUCUUCCGCAAUGGGCGAAAGCCUGACGGAGCAACGCCGCGUGAGUGAUGAAGGUCUUCGGAUCGUAAAACUCUGUUAUUAGGGAAGAACAAAUGUGUAAGUAACUAUGCACGUCUUGACGGUACCUAAGCAGAAAGCCACGGCUAACUACGG
rnacentral:rRNA from 1 species